GAGAAUCCCACAGGCCGUAAACCCAAGGUUUCCAGGGGAAGGUUCGUCCGCCCUGGGUUAGUCGGGACCUAAGCUGAGGCCGAAAGGCGUAGGGGAUGGACAACAGGUUGAUAUUCCUGUACUACCGAUAACCGUUUGAGAGAAGGGAUGACACAGUAGGAUAAGCUAAGCACACUGUUGGUUAUGUGUGCCCAAGCAUUGAGGCAGUCAAAGUAGGCAAAUCCGCUUUGAUAAUACUGGGAUGUGAUGGGGAGCGAAAUUUAGUAGCGAAGUAGCUGAUUUCACACUGUCAAGAAAAGUCUCUAUCGAGGUUAAAGGUACCCGUACCGCAAACCGACACAGGUGGGUGAGGAGAGUAUCCUAAGGCCAGCGAGAGAACUGUUGUUAAGGAACUCGGCAAAAUGACCCCGUAACUUAGGGAUAAGGGGUGCCACCAUCAGGUGGCCGCAGAGAAUAGGCCC
rnacentral:rRNA from 1 species